rnacentral:rRNA from 1 species
GGGUGCGAUCAUACCAGCAAUACAACACCGAAUUCC